CCUGAACAAACUAUCGAACUUCUGCACGAGCUGACUUCAAACUCCUGAACAAUGAAAGGUCUUGUUGUUGUAGUUCUACUGGUUGUUAUUAUCUCUAGUUCUGGCCAUCCUGAUAAGAAGACCUACGACUUGUUAUGUGAUAGCAAUAACGAUAAAGCCAUUGCAGACAUCAAACACUGUAUGGACCUGGAGCCCUCUAGUGUAAUAUAAAAAGAAGUUUGCCAACUGUAGGGCUACCCAUCAAGCUGUAACUGAUCAAGCUCUGUGUGGGAAGUGGGAGGAGAUCUACAAUUGUGCCCAUCCAGAUUAUGAUCACGAUAGCAGCGAGUACAAAAAUGUCCAUGAAUGCGUUUUGAAAGCACACAGCGAUUGGAGGAAAAGGAAUUCAAAAUAAGUGUAGAAUUGUUGAAGAUCGUAAAACAACGACGUGAACAGUUUCUUCAAACUAUUUUUUUUC